UACAGAGGGUGCGAGCGUUAAUCGGAAUUACUGGGCGUAAAGCGUGCGCAGGCGGGCUUUUAAGCCAGACGUGAAAUCCCCGGGCUUAACCUGGGAAUGGCGUUUGGGACUGGGAGUCUGGAGUGCGGCAGAGGAGACUGGAAAUCCUGGUGUAGCAGUGAAAUGCGUAGAUAUCAGGAGGAACACCGAUGGCGAAGGCAGGUCUCUGGGCUGACACUGACGCUCAUGCACGAAAGCGUGGGGAGCAAACAGG
rnacentral:rRNA from 1 species